rnacentral:rRNA from 1 species
CGGGACGGGGUGGAGUAACGGCGUGGGAGUAACCUGCCUCACACUGGGGGAGAACAGUUAGAAAUGGCUGCUAAUACCGCAUAAGCGCACAGUACCGCAUGGUACGGUGUGAAAAACCCAGGUGGUGUGAGAUGGAUCCGCGUCUGAUUAGCCAGUUGGCGGGGUAACGGCCCACCAAAGCGACGAUCAGUAGCCGACCUGAGAGGGUGACCGGCCACAUUGGGACUGAGACACGGCCCAA